rnacentral:lncRNA from 10 species
AAAUGGCCCCAGCAACAGGUAGGGGGAUGGAAAAACAUCCCUGCCCAGUGAGGAGGGAGCAGAUGGCAGCCAAAAGAGACACACUUGUAUCUAAUCACCGGGACAGCAGUGUGUCCACAAGCUUCCGGACAGCACGCACUUCAGUGAUGUCAUCUGCACCCGGCUCCGUGGAUUUACAGUAAGACUCUACUUUGAUCAUAUUAACUAAAAGCCAUAAUCACAGCCAGUCCUAAAUUAUCCGUCAUUUACUGCUUGCUGUAAUAGACGUCUUGAAAAUGACACACUGAACACACACUGUAUAAUCCUAUAAUUCUACAACAUGGUAGGGAAAACAGCUCAAUGAGAAUCACGUUUGCAGGCUACCAGUAAACCUCAAUUACUGAAUCAAAGAUAAGAGGCAAGCAGAUACAAAUGAGUAAGAUAAAGAUAAAAAUGAGUAAGAAGUUCAGCUCUUUCUUACACAAGUCUCAGAAACCAGGAAAUCAAAGAAGGCAUUGUAUCAGUGUUAUAAGGACCCAAAAGUCUAUUUUUAAAAAAGUGGGGGUAACUAGCCAGGACAGGGGACACCCACAAAGCACCUGUCUGAAUGAGCCACUCGGCCAGCAGGUUCACAGUCUGGGCCACAGCGGUGUAGUUUUCAGAUAAGAGCUGGAUAACAUUCUCUGGAGACCCUCCUGCCUGAAAAUACCUAGGGAAAGUAACAACAGCAAUUACACCCGAAUGAAUGGAAUGAUGGACAACAGGAAGGUAAGGAAGGAGGAAGAGAAUCAGGUUUCAAAAUUUUUAAAGCAGCGGAGGGGGCUGGGUGCAGUGGUGCACACCUGUAAUCCCAGCACUUUGGGAGGCAGAGGUGGGAGAAUCACUUGAGCCUAGGAGUUCAAGAGCAGCCAGGGCAACGUAAGGAGCCCUGUCUCUCCCAAAAAACAAAAACAAAAAUAGCCAGGCAUGAUGGCAGACGCCUGUGGUGGCCACCUUGCAAGGCUGAGGUGGGAGAACUGCUUGAUUCCAGGAGGCUGAAGCUGCAGUGAGCGGUGAUUGUGCCACUGCAACAGAGCAAGACUCUGUCUUAAAAAAAUUUAAAAAAAAAAAAAAAGUGGCAGAGGGGACCCCCCCUUGAAGCCUUUAGUUCAGUUCGCGUUACUCUUGCUUUACAUAGCACCUUCUGGGUGUAUUACAAAACUUUCUCUAAAUUACCCCCAGCCUCCUCCCAAUACAGACACCUUUCUCACAUACCUCUUCAGAGUGUUGAAGAUGGAGGGUUCCAUGAUAUAAUCCCGGGUGGAAAAUUUAUGCAGGCAUUCUUGCUGAACCUCCGCAUCAUCCUCUCCUUCUCCAGAAUCAUCCUCCUGCUGUUGGUAAAUGCGAAGAGCCAGGAUAUUUUUUUCAUUAAUACAAAUACCCUAAUCUCACCUUAAAUCGUAUAAUGCUGCCCAUUUUGAAAGUAUUCUACACACAUUAUUUCAUUUGACUUUCAUGACAAUUUCAUGAAAUGGGCUGGACAGAUAGUGAGUGGCUAGGAAAAUGGGAUCCAGGAUCACACUGAGUGGGUGUGUACAACUCCUCCCUGGCAAACCGCGUUCCAUGCUCACACAAGUUACCCAACCUCUCUGAGUGUCCAUUUCCUCCUCUGUUAAGUGAAGAUAAUAAUAACGCCUAUUCCCAUUUGGCUGUUGUGAGGAUUCCAUGAGCUAAUUUUUGGAAGAACCCAGCAUAAUCCCUGACAUUUCGUAACAGUGCAAUAAAUAGUAAACUAUU